GGUUAAUUGGGGAUUACGCAUUAAUUUGUGAAAGUAAUUUCACCCCUUCACACUAAUAGGAGGAUAUUGUUGCGUUAUUCUUCUUCAUUGUUCCCGCUGAUAAUUAAUACGAUUUUCUCUCUCGUUUGAAUCGUAAUAACUGUGUAAAGAAUCAGUUUGGAGACGUCUUACAUAGAAAGUUGGGGUAACCUUGGCUUAAAUUUAUCAUCUACCUGCGAGUACCAACACCUGUGGACAUAUCCACAUCUGAUAAGAAGCGGCCAUUUUGUGAACUGGGUCACCCUGAUUAUGAGCGCAAUUUGAUCACAGGAUUCGAUCAACAACAAGGAGACAACUUCCGUAAUCUUUACCUACGUAUUCAUUAUUUUAUGGUGAACUUUUUCACGCGAAUGUUAUGGUAGCCCGCCACUUCCUUCUGGAGAGAUUGAUCGAAAAAGUAUUGUAGUUGCGAGCUUACUACUAGUAAGGCGAGGCUCUUCAGGAAUUGAUCAGUUCAUUGCAUUCCAAGCUCUGCGGAUUGGGAGUUUUCUUUUGUUGCAGAUUUUAUGAA